AAAAACAGCUACUAAAUGGACCUUAUGGUGAGAUUGUUCAACCACUGUCUCCAAGGAAUGAACAAACGACAGUUGGAUGGUAAUUAAAAAUCCCUUGCUCGCGAUUCUCCAGUCAGAACAACAGAUU